AACGCACCUUGCGCCUCUUGGUAUUCCGAGAGGCAUGCCUGUUUGAGUGUCAUGAAACCCUCAAUCCUGCCGGUUUUGUCGCCGGGCUGGACUUGGACUUGGGUGUCUGCCGGAGACGGCUCACCUUAAAGACGUUAGUGGGAUUAGGUCUCUGGCUUGACGUAAUAAGUUUCGUCGAACCCCUGGCCUCACGUCCGCUCACAACCCCCCUUACUUUUACUUCUGACCUCAAAUCAGGUAGGGCUACCCGCUGAACUUAA
rnacentral:misc_RNA from 1 species